rnacentral:rRNA from 1 species
GACGAACGCUGGCGGCGUGCUUAACACAUGCAAGUCGAACGGAAAGGCCCUGCUUUUGUGGGGUGCUCGAGUGGCGAACGGGUGAGUAACACGUGAGUAACCUGCCCUUGACUUUGGGAUAACUUCAGGAAACUGGGGCUAAUACCGGAUAGGAGCUCCUGCUGCAUGGUGGGGGUUGGAAAGUUUCGGCGGUUGGGGAUGGACUCGCGGCUUAUCAGCUUGUUGGUGGGGCAGUGGCUUACCAAGGCUUUGACGGGUAGCCGGCCUGAGGGGGUGACCGGCCACAUUGGGACUGAGAUACGGCCCAGACUCCUACGGGAGGCAGCAGUGGGGAAUAUUGCACAAUGGGCGGAAGCCUGAUGCAGCAACGCCGCGUGCGGGAUGACGGCCUUCGGGUUGUAAACCGCUUUCGCCUGUGACGAAGCGUGAGUGACGGUAAUGGGUAAAGAAGCACCGGCUAACUACGU